rnacentral:rRNA from 1 species
ACAGUGGACGCGAGCAUCUUUGUAGUUAAAUUUUUAGGUGCAAACGGUGGAUGCCUUGGCAUCAGAAGCCGAUGAAGGACGUAUGAGGCUGCGAUAAGCCUCGGGGAGCUGCCAACAGAGCAUUGAUCCGAGGAUUUCCGAAUGGGGAAACCCACUGGGAGUAAUGUCCUAGUACUUCUGCAUGAACACAUAGUGCAGAUAGAGGGAACGUAGGGAAGUGAAACAUCUCAGUACCUACAGGAAGAGAAAACAACCGUGAUUCCGCUAGUAGUGGCGAGCGAAAGCGGAUCGAGACUAAACCGAUGGUGUGUCAAGCCGGCAGGCGUUGCACGAUCGGGGUCGUGGGAUUGUGUCGAGUAAUCUGCCGAUUACUCAAUAAGUAAAAAAUCAAUGAUGUAGAUGAAGGAUUUGGAAAGAUCCGGCACAGAAGGUAACACCCCUGUAGUCGAAACAUCAUUGACUUAUUCGCAAUAUCCCAAGUAGCACGGGGCCCGAGAAAUCCCGUGUGAAUCUGGCGGGACCACCCGCUAAGUCUAAAUACUCUCUGGUGACCGAUAGCGGACAAGUACCGUG